rnacentral:misc_RNA from 1 species
AUCCCCGUCCUUGAAGCGGG